rnacentral:rRNA from 1 species
UACGUAGGGUGCAAGCGUUGUCCGGAAUUAUUGGGCGUAAAGAGCUCGUAGGCGGUUUGUCGCGUCUGCUGUGAAAACCUAAGGCUCAACCUUGGGCUUGCAGUGGGUACGGGCAGACUAGAGUGCGGUAGGGGUGACUGGAAUUCCUGGUGUAGCGGUGGAAUGCGCAGAUAUCAGGAGGAACACCGAUGGCGAAGGCAGGUC